rnacentral:lncRNA from 1 species
CAGCUGAGUUGGCAAAGACAGGUUCUGGUGAUGCAGUGGCCACGGGCCUGUAGGAUGGAGCUUCACAGACCCUGAGACCGGACCAGACCAUGUGCACUACUAUCAUGGUCCUCACCACUCUGGCCAUCAUCCUGCGACGCUGGUUCUGCAGCAGAGUCAAGCCUCACCCAGAUGAGCUGAAUGAGAAGGAGAGGAUGUCCAUGCAGUACGGCCCCGCAGUGUUGGCGACAAACUGAAACCACAGUCAUCAUCGUGGGCUGACUAUACAUGCGUGUGCUUCUCUGGAGAAGUACCCAAGGAAGGACGUCAAACAUCAUCCCAAUGUCCACCCCCCAAGACAAUGCCUGCCAUAAAAAAAACCCAGCCUCUUUACACUUGUGACCAAAAUUGGUCCCUAUCUGUCCUCAGGUCAUGGUGCGUUGGGAGGACUGAAGACACCGGUCCCAUUGGGUGCCUUUUGCACACGAUAGCCCAUCUCCACAGAUGACCUUUACUACUUUGUGCAUUUAUACUUGCAUUAACAUACAUUCUAUGUUGCUUGUUUUUUUUUAUACUCGAUCAAUGGUUGGCAACGCAUGUAGGGUUUUCUGACUGGUUGUUUUUUGAAAGCAUCACUUGUUCAACUUUUCAUUUUCUGAAAAUACCAACAGGGGUUAAAUUGUGCUAUUCUUACAUCUUCAACUAUUUCUUCAUAAAUCUGAACACUGAAAUGUGCUUUCUUCAUAGCGCAACAUUAAAGCAAAGUGUUUCCUUUUUUCUUAUGUCAAAUUAGAUACAUUAAAAACUAUCAAUGACCAAAAAUGUGAGAUGUUUCAUAAGAGAAAUGCUUCAAAAUGCAACUUAAGUCAUUUUUCGGUGUCAGUAGUUCAACUUGUCUUCCAUCCUGUAGAAAAUAAGCAAAAAGCAUCCUUCAGGUUGUCAAAUUUGCACCCCGGGUGAAAAUCAAUAUUCUUUUGAUGCCGCUGCCCUCAUCCAUCUCUUCAUCUCUUGCUUAAAACGCCUCAUUUCGGGGCAAAUCAGACACUGUAAAAGGAUGAGAAACUUCUUGCAAAUAUGUAAAUCAGGUUCCCCCCUCUAGUUACACUCCAGACAGACAAUUCUGCGGAACCUGGACUUUGUCACACAGCGGCCUGGGCCUCUUCACCAAAUGAGAUCCAGUCCCUGCACUUCCUGCCUGAUUAGAUCAAUAAACGAUCAAAUGGCGGUGCUUGCUCUUGUUGU